AUAUGUCAAAAGAUGUCUUGAGCUCACAUUGAUGCAAGUUCUUCAUUGAACUUCUUGCUGGUCUGGUUGAGGAGCCACAUGUCGCCGAGUCCUCCUACCUUUGUAAUUGAACUAGGGUUUUCUUUUUUAAAGAAGACUGGUUAAUUAUAAGUAUCAUGCAUCCCUUUGCCUGUCGUAAAUAUGUCUCCAUUUAUUAACCAGACCUGCAGGAUCCUAAUAUUCAAGACUAAUAUCAGAUGCUUAUGGCACUGUGGUUGCUGAGUUCCUCACUGCACAGUACAAUGAGUUGCACCUGCUGCUUAUAAAUAGCCAAGUAGUAAGACAAACUAACAUAUCAGUAAAAGUGGGGAAGAGUUGCAAAAGAGGAAGGAGUCUAGCUAGCUGGUCAGCUGCAUUGGAUACAUUGAGGACAGGCAUGGAACUGUUGUAAACACAUCACCGAACUUCUAUAGAUAUUCAGGGAAGCGCAAAUACAAUGCCAUAGCUUUGCUAAUUGCUCGUACAUUUUCAGACUAGCUAAGAGAAGCAGAAACUUGUGUCAAAUUUAUGAGUUUAUGUUCAUUUGCUUUCCUUGCUUUGUUU